GUAUUGCAAUACAACAUAAACAACCAAAGCUAAAACGGGGAACUAUUGCAACACACUUUGGUUUUAUUAUUUUUUUUAUAGCUAGCGAGAUACAGUUGCUUUCACGAAAUGUGUUCGACUGCUAAGCUAGCCGACUGGCUAAACUAAGUAGCUAGCAAGUUAGCUCAGCUCGGUUCCGGCCUAAAAUAGCUAACGUUAGCUCCAUUUUCAGAUUUCGGGAAAACCACAAUUCAAGUGUACAUUACCACGUAUGCAGAUGUUCAUCUAACGAAACCAAGGGAAAGCUGAUGGAACGUUAGUCCAACUGAGUCACCAAUUCUCGUCAUGCAAUGGGG
rnacentral:lncRNA from 1 species